UGUGCAACCAGUAUAAUAUCUACAACCGUGGUCGGUAGCACGCUUCGGCGCAUAGAUAAUAGAAGAAUCUAUUAUCUUCUAUUAUCUAUGAUUUGGCGUGUUCUGGCCUCGUACCUAUGUGAUUACGUCGCGUUUAAUACAUUUUGAGGUUUGAGUGGUUCGAUUCUAAUGUCGCUAUAAUCUGUGACGUGUAGUACACGGUCAGAAAUGUCGGCCGAUCGCAGAACUUCUGGGUAGUUUUCCGACGAACAUUUCUUAGACUCGUCGUAAACACGACUGACGACUGUGUCCGACAGCUGCCAAACGAAAUACCUAUAGUCCAAUAAUUGGUGCACAUUAUAUGUGUCACCCGAUAAGACUGCACCCACUACCAAUACUGAAACAUCAUCGAUUUUAAGACUGACGGAAAAACAAUUUGUACAAAUAAGAUGCUUGUCUGUUUUCUUUGUGAUUUGUACAUUGAACGUACACGGGUGUGUUUAAACAUUACACCACGUCAUAGUAACUUACCAUACCCGGAAAAUUUGUUGAGUUUAUGGGAGAUGAAUUUGUGGUUAUUGUGAACUCCGCGGAUUACAUGUGCAAGAAACGUACCUCACUUUUGACUUAUAUGGACAAGUUGGAAAAUGAUCUGAAACUUGUUAAAAUGCAAUGUUGUCAUAUAUACAAAAGAAAUAUGGAAUAUUGCCUCCUGAUUGAGCUGUUAACGGUGUUGAGUUUAGCGUAAAGUACCUAGUGGUCUGAUAGUAGGAGUUUCCCCUACUGUGAUUAAGGCUGCUGUAGUUACUCCGGUCCAGACUCCAUUAAAAUUGUUAUAAACACAACAGUAGCAGCAGCAACAACAACCACAACCAACGCAACAAGAAAGCGUUAAAAAAAUGAAAAUAUACAAGUGGGGUUCUUGAACAUUCCAAUCGAAAGAGCUUGGUCAUGUUUGAUUCCACAUGCGCAUUUAUACAAACAUAAAGGAGCCUGACAAACUUAUUUUUAAUCAAUCAGCGGUUAAAGCAUUAACUCGGAUAAGAUGCUUGUCUGUUUUCUUUGUGAUUUGUACAUUGAACGUACACGGGUGUGUUUAAACAUUACACCACGUCAUAGUAACUUACCAUACCCGGAAAAUUUGUUGAGUUUAUGGGAGAUGAAUUUGUGGUUAUUGUGAACUCCGCGGAUUACAUGUGCAAGAAACGUACCUCACUUUUGACUUAUAUGGACAAGUUGGAAAAUGAUCUGAAACUUGUUAAAAUGCAAUGUUGUCAUACAUA